rnacentral:rRNA from 1 species
CACGUAGGGGGGCAAGCGUUGUCCGGAUUUAUUGGGCGUAAAGAGCUCGUAGGCUGUUCGAUAAGUCGGGUGUGAAACCUCCAGGCUCAACCUGGAGACGCCACCCGAUACUGUCAUGACUAGAGUCCGGUAGGGGAGCGUGGAAUUCCUGGUGUAGCGGUGAAAUGCGCAGAUAUCAGGAGGAACACCAGCGGCGAAGGCGGCGCUCUGGGCCGGUACUGACGCUGAGGAGCGAAAGCGUGGGUAGCAAACAGG